rnacentral:rRNA from 1 species
AAUGAACGCUGGCGGCAUGCCUUACACAUGCAAGUCGAACGGCAGCAUGACCUAGCUUGCUAGGUUGAUGGCGAGUGGCGAACGGGUGAGUAAUGCAUCGGAACGUGCCUUUUAGUGAGGGAUAACGUAGCGAAAGUUACGCUAAUACCGCAUAUUCUCUGAGGAGGAAAGCAGGGGACCUCGGGCCUUGCGCUAGAAGAGCGGCCGAUGUUGGAUUAGCUAGUUGGUGAGGUAAAGGCUCACCAAGGCAACGAUCCGUAGCGGGUCUGAGAGGAUGAUCCGCCACACUGGGACUGAGACACGGCCCAGACUCCUACGGGAGGCAGCAGUGGGGAAUUUUGGACAAUGGGCGCAAGCCUGAUCCAGCCAUGCCGCGUGAGUGAAGAAGGCCUUCGGGUUGUAAAGCUCUUUCGGCUGGGAAGAAAUCGCACCCUCUAAUACAGGGUGUGGAUGACGGUACCAGCAUAAGAAGCACCGGCUAACUACGUG